AUGCCUUUAGUGUUAAUUGCUUUCUGGGCGUUGCGUGCCUUUGCGGGUUUUUUUUUUUUUUUUCUUGCGGGUGAAGGGUGCAGGGCUGAUGCCUCUGGGUGCUGGGAGUGGGUCCUUGGGACCACCCUGGGGUGGGCAGUGGGGCAGCUCUGCUUGCUCAGCCCAGCCCCAGACAGGCUGGAAACGAGCCUCGCAGGACAAAGUGUUGUUUCAUCCCACAAGGAAAAAGGUUUUAUGGGUCAUCUGGAAAUGCUAAUCCUCAGGGAUGCCACAAGGAAUGCUGCCUGUGUCCAGCAAGGCUUUGGCAGGUGCUGGGGCCCCCCUGCCCAGCUCCUGGUGCCCAUCACAGCUCCUUCCUCCCCAGACCUGGCUCCAGGAACUGCGGCUCUGCACGGUGUUGGUGUUGGGAAGGCUGACAAGGCUGGGGAUACCCAGGAGCUGCCCGCAGGAGUGUGUGUUUGCCAGGGAAAAGGAAAUUCCUCCAAGCUCUGUGGCCAACCCAGUGACUGCACAGUGGGGAAAGACAGGACAAGGGAUCUCGUUUGGGAUCCUGCCGUACAUCACACACCCCGUUUUCCCUUCAUGACUGCCGAGGUCCUGGCUCCUUGCUGAGCCCCCAGGACAAGGUGCCAGACCCAGGCGAUGCUCACAGGAGUGACACGUUUCCUUCUGAGCUCGGUGAGUCACCACUGAGUCACGGCUCGCUCUGCGGGCAGCUCCGUGCCCGUGGAAGGCUGCGGGAUGUGAGGUUCCUGCCCUCCGUGCACUGGAGAGCCCUCUUCUCCCUGCUCCCCUGGCCUUGCAAACCUGGCUUUGUGGCUCAGGAGAGAUGGGAGAUGAGUGACUGGUCCCUGCUGACCCCCUCCUGCCCCUCACCACGCAGCCCCUCCAGCCUCCAACCCCAGCUCUUCGAGCUGAGACCAGACAGUGUGGGGUUUGGGGUAACCUUAAGGGGUUUUCUCCCUGGGGCAGGACCUUCUGCAGUUCUCCUGGGAUGGAAAGUGCAGAACCCAAGGGGAAAU
rnacentral:lncRNA from 1 species